AUUGAACGCUGGCGGCAUGCUUUACACAUGCAAGUCGAACGGGCUGGGGGCAACUCCAGUCAGUGGCGAACGGGUGAGUAAUACAUCGGAACGUACCUCGUAGUGGGGGAUAACUCGGCGAAAGCCGUGCUAAUACCGCAUAUGCUCUACGGAGGAAAGCAGGGGACCGCAAGGCCUUGUGCUAUGGGAGCGGCCGAUGUCCGAUUAGCUAGUUGGUGAGGUAAGGCUCACCAAGGCGACGAUCGGUAGCUGGUCUGAGAGGAUGAUCAGCCACACUGGGACUGAGACACGGCCCA
rnacentral:rRNA from 1 species